rnacentral:rRNA from 1 species
GACGAACGCUGGCGGCGUGCUUAACACAUGCAAGUCGAACGGAAAGGCCUCUUUCGGGGGGUACUCGAGUGGCGAACGGGUGAGUAACACGUGAGUAACCUGCCCUUGACUUUGGGAUAACUUCAGGAAACUGGGGCUAAUACCGGAUAGGAGCUCCUGCUGCAUGGUGGGGGUUGGAAAGUUUCGGCGGUUGGGGAUGGACUCGCGGCUUAUCAGCUUGUUGGUGGGGGAGUGGCUUACCAAGGCUUUGACGGGUAGCCGGCCUGAGAGGGUGACCGGCAACAUUGGGACUGAGAUACGGCCCAGACUCCUACGGGAGGCAGCAGUGGGGAAUAUUGCACAAUGGGUGGAAGCCUGAUGCAGCAACGCCGGGUGCGGGAGGACGGCCUUCGGGUUGUAAACCGCUUUCGCUCAUGACGAAGCUUUGUGUGACGGUAGUGGGUAAAGAAGCACCGGCUAACUACGUG